AUAUUUUGGUCAAACAUACUAACAAAUAAGGCAAAUUAUGCGUCUGAGCAAUGAUAGCCGUAAUGGUCACUUCCACUGAUACAUAGACAAUCACUUCAAAAACUUGCCUCAACAAUAUUAAAUAAAAAAAAAUUCUCAUGUUAUUACACUAAUAACCAAUGGUACCACAAGUGGUACACCUAUAAAUAAGCACAUAAAAAAUAAAAAAUAAACCAUAAAAAACUUUAAUACAGUUUGAACUUAGCCUACUUCUGCGGGUUUCACCCAAAAAUGAAUCUAAC
rnacentral:lncRNA from 1 species